ensembl:lncRNA
AAAAAAUUAAAUGAAUUUGGCAUGGUUGUGUAUAGUUGCCUUUAAAAGGCAACUAUGUAAAUCAACCUAAGUAUGCAAAAUUAUUAAGUUUAUAUAAUUUGUCUGCAUUUCCCCCCAAAUCCUUAGUUAUACACGAACAAUUCCAUCCCAAGUUAUAUGCUCUUCAACUUGAACCAAGCAUGCAAUAGAAGAGAAAUCUGGAUUACAUAAAACCCUGACUCACAAAUUUAGAACAAAACAAAAUGAUGAGAUAAUUACAAAACGAAAAAAAUUAUAAUUUAUAUAUUUUUGUAAAAGGCUAAUACAUAAGAAACUUAAACAUAUCUUGUAACUCAAUAACAAAAGACAGGCCAAUAAAAAUAUACAAAGUGCUUGGGUAGGUGUUUUGCCAAAGGAUGUAUACAAAUUUCCAACAAACCCAUGGAUAGAUGCCAGCAUCAUGAGUCAGAUCAAAAGCACAAAGAGAUAUAAUAUAACUCUGUGUUCUCAUGUCUAGAAUAAAAAUGAAAAAUAGUGUAGGUGAGGACAUGAAUUUUUAACCCUGGCACAUUGCUGGUACUAAUAUAAAAUUGCUAAGUUUCUGAGGAAAAUAGUUUGGGAGUUCUUUGAAGCUUAACUAUGUGAGUAUCCUACAACCACCAAUUCCAUCCCAGGUUAUAUGCUCUUCAACUUGAACCAAGCAUGCACUCAAUAACAUGCACACAAAUGUUUAUGCCAAGAAUAUUUAAAUUAGCCAAAAUAAGGAACUUGAUCCAAUGUCCAAGAGCUAAAGGAUGAGGUUCACAUAAUAGCCUAUCAGCCAUAAAAGGGAAUAAGAUUUCCAUAGGGGUUAUGGCAUGGAUGGUCAUCCAAAAUAACACUGGUGCUGAGGAGAGGACAUAGAUGGUCAAAUGGGUGUUGCUUAAACAUAAGAACCUGUGUUCAAAUUCCCAUCACCAACAUAAAGCUCGGCAUGUAACCCCAGCAUUGGGGGCUUAGGGAAGAUGAUCCCCAGGGCAACAUAUUUAGCAGGAUCAGUGAGCUUCAGAUCACCCAUAGACCAUGUCUCCAAAAAAAGUGGAGAGCAAUAAAGGGAGAUAACAGAUAGUGACAUUUGGCCUCCACACAGACUUGUGUAUGCAGAUACAAACAUGUAUACACACAUGCACCCUCAAAUAUGGAAAGAAAACAGGGUGAUAAUAAAAAACAAAGUUUCUGAUUAUAUUUAUCUGAAAUAUCCAGGCAGGCAGCAUGUUAUUGGUGGAGUAACAAGGUGGACUAACACCACUUAGUGGGUAUGAGGCUUCCAUUUGGGGUGUUAGGAUGUUUUAGAGUUGAAUGUGAAUUUAUAAAUUCAUAAUUGUCAGAUAACAUUGUGAAUAUGAUAAAUACUCUCAAGUUAUAUACUUUGUAAUAUAUGUUGUAUGUCUUUUUUAAAAAACCACAAAAUUAAAGAUCCUGGACAACUGUGUAAAUCAAACAGGACUUAAGAACAAGAGGUGUGAACAAGCAAACAAAUGCACAUGGUGCUUAAGACAGCUGGGCCCUCAAGAGAAAGUAUAAGGCUCAUACUCUUAGUAAAUGUUUUAUAAUUUUUUGUUAGUGCUAACAUAAAUCCAGUCAGAAAUGGCAGCAUUUCCCCCUAGUCUUUGUUCUACUAAGACAGUUUCUAUGGGUAGCCUGUGAGUUUUCUUCUAAAUCAGAAGUUACUAAGGAUGAAUUUCAAUGUAUAAUCCUUAUUAUCGGUCAACUCUGAUGUUACCAAGAGAUUUUUCCCUGUUAGCAUGAGGCUCACACCUAGUUCUUUGUUUCCUUUCCCAACAUAGCACCUAACAAGGAUUGCUAUCACUCUCACUGAUGACAGAUAUAUGUGGAGCUAGAAUGGGUGACACAUGAUGCGAGGCUGGGGUUUGUAGCAGAAUGAGAUGCCCACAGGAGUUCACAUUCAACCUUUGGACAACAAGGAAUGCCAACUCCACUUGUGAACCUGAUUUCUGCCCACAAUCCCUGAGCCUCGAGGGGAAGGAUUUGAUAAAGACAUUCCAUUUAGGGGUAUCCACAACUGCUGUGAGCUGAUUUGUGCAACAGCCACACGAUGUGCAGAAGUCAACAUCUCACAAUUCUCCUCCCAUCCUCAGGCUUUACAUUAUUUCCAGGCGUCUUUCAGAAUGCUCUCCGAGUCACUGUCACAAUUUUUAAAAGGAGAAGAAAAACAUUUAUUCCAUAAUUCAGCACCCCAAGCACUGUAGUGCAUGAAAAAUUUAUGGACACAGCUUUGACUGUUCAAAGUAUUAGCCAGAGCACUGUUUUGUUCAGCCACACUGUGGCAAGCCCUGCUGGGAUUCAUGGUCUACCUGCAUGCUCAGCAAAGAAGGCAAUAGCUGUGUUGAGAAGCCAGUGGCCUCUUCACUACAGUCUUUGGAACUGGGGGAACCCUAAGAGGUCUCAACACUACAUAAAGUACAGGC